rnacentral:misc_RNA from 1 species
AAGUCGUAACAAGGUUUCCGUAGGUGAACCUGCGGAAGGAUCAUUACAAAACAAAAUCCAAAUCACACCAAAUGUGCUCUAUAAAUGCAGAGAGUCUGCAGAAAUUCAUGUAUUUGUGUGUGUGGUGUGUGUGUGUGUGUGUGUGAGUUUGUUAUGUUUGUGUUUGUGAGAGAGAAAUUAACCUUUUUCUCACACACUCACACACAUAUACAUACGCAUACACACACACAUGCAUACACACACACACACACAAGCAUAUACAUAUUUUUCACUACAUGCUGGCUCUCUUGCAUUGUCUUUGUUUAUCAAUUUUUUCAUUAACUCCUUGUUUAACCAACAACGGAUUACAAUGUUAAAACUUGAAACAAAAAAACAAAACAAAAUGACAACUUUUAACGGUGGAUCUCUUGGCUCGU